rnacentral:tRNA from 1 species
AUUUAAAUAGCUUAUAUUUGUAGAGUAUAAUAUUGAAGAUAUUAAGGAGAUUAUUAAAUCUUUAAAUA